GGUCCCAUCGUCUAGCGGUCUAGGACGCCGGCCUCUCACGCCGGUAACACGGGUUCGAGUCCCGUUGGGACUACCA
rnacentral:tRNA from 3 species